rnacentral:rRNA from 1 species
AAUGAACGUUGGCGGCAUGGAUUAGGCAUGCAAGUCGGGCGAGAAGGAAAUCAAAGUUUACUUUGGUUUCCGGAAAGCGGCGAAAGGGAGAGUAACGCGUAGUUAUCUACCCCAAGGCCCGGAAUAGCUGCGGGAAACUGCAGGUAAUGCCGGAUAAUAUCCCCGGAUCAAAGGUGUGAUUCCGCCUUGGGAGGAGACUGCGUUGUACUAGCUUGUUGGUAGGGUAAUGGCCUACCAAGGCUACGAUGCAUAGCGGGCGUGAGAGCGUGGCCCGUCUCACUGGGACUGAAACACUGCCCAGACACCUACGGGUGGCUGCAGUCGAGAAUCUUCGGCAAUGGGCGAAAGCCUGACCGAGCGAUGCCGCGUGCGGGAUGAAGGCCCUCGGGUUGUAAACCGCUGUCGUAGGGGAGAAAGGACCGUUGAAGAGACGGUUUUGAUCUAUCCUAGGAGGAAGUCCGGGCUAAGUUCGUGCCAGCAGCCGCGGUAA